GAGACAAAAAAUUGUGUAUAUCUUGGUGUAGAUGAUUUAUCCUCAUUUUCUUAUAAUAAAACAAAAAAUAUUAUUAAACUUUGGGAUUUACCUGUAACUCCAAAAUCUUUACAGAAGUUUAAUGUUUGCUCUGAGAAGUUGAAUGAACAAAUUUAUUAAAUGUGUUCAUUCUUAGUCGUCAUUGAAGUACAACUUGGUAAACUAAAAAACACAUCAAAUUCAGUUAUAAAAAUUUGAGUAACAAAGGUAUACUAAUUAUUGUAUUGCCUGAAAGAGUGUCAUUGCUAUUAAAAGCAGUGAAGAAUUCAAGUACUCUGGAAGAAAAGAAAAUAAGUCAAUUAUUUGGCACAAAUCGGAGUUAACGACAAAGGAGAUUGUAUAUUUUAUUUGCUAAGAAUAGUUUUUUAAAAUGGCCUAGUUGUAAAAUUAAACUAUGCAGGGAGAGGACAAAAAAUUGGAAUAGAAAAAAUAAUGAUUGCAUAUGCUGCUAUUGAAACUGUGAAGUCAAAUAAGCAUGGCUUAUGCAGACAUGUGAUAGAGAUAGA